CAUGUGAGUGUGGGGUGGGAAGGGCUCCGAGGGUAUGAGGCUGAAGGGAGACUGGAGGGUUGGGCGGCAAGCGGUGAUAGGGGUGGGCAGGUGUUUUCAGGCAAACCACCCGCGCGGGCAGUGACGACAUUCUAUAACGACAUCACCUCUGAAUAUCACGGCCUCGACAAGAUCGAGCUGUGCUGAGGACCUACAUAGGAAGAACUGAGCCUCGCGGUUUGGCUGCCUGUUGGCAAAGACUGGCUUACAUCUUAGGUCGUUGCAUUCAUUGCGCACGGCAUUGGGCAGUGACGAUAUUCUAUAACGACAUCACCUCUGAGCACCACAGCCUCGACAAGAUCGAGCUGUGCUGAGGACCUACAUAGGAAGAACUGAGCCCUGAAUCCACGAGUCCCUGCACGACAUAUCAUCCCCACGCCCACGACCCACUUGGUGCACCAGCUCCUGACGCCCGCCUCCUUCCCGCGCCCCCGCACCUCUAACCCUCCUCGCGCCCACACAGGC
rnacentral:lncRNA from 1 species